AGUGAACGCUGGCGGCAGGCCUAACACAUGCAAGUCGAACGGCAGCACAAGAGAGCUUGCUCUCUGGGUGGCGAGUGGCGGACGGGUGAGGAAUGCAUCGGAAUCUGCCCAUUUGUGGGGGAUAACCUCGGGAAACCGGGACUAAUACCGCAUACGACCUACGGGUGAAAGCAGGGGAUCUUCGGACCUUGCGCAGAUGGAUGAGCCGAUGCCGGAUUAGCUAGUUGGAGGGGUAAAGGCCCACCAAGGCGACGAUCCGUAGCUGGUCUGAGAGGAUGAUCGGCCACAUUGGAACUGAGAAACGCCCCAGACUCCUACGGGAGGCAGAAGUGGGGAAUAUUGGACAAUGGGCGAAAGCCUGAUCAAGCCAUGCGGCGUGUGUGAAGAAGGCCUUCGGGUUGUAAAGCACUUUUGUUGGGAAAGAAAAGCAGCCGGUUAAUACCCGGUUGUAAUGACGGAACCCAAAGAAUAAGCACCGGCUAACUUCGU
rnacentral:rRNA from 1 species